UUUCAGGAGGUGAGGCGGUCUGUGAUGAUGCUCACGGAGAGAAACAACCUUCACACCUUUCAAGCAGGAAUUCAUCUUGAAAGAUGCAACAUGCAGAUCCACCUCAAAUCUGCUGUGGCGAACCCAAACGGAGGAAGAAAAGGGAGAAGACGAAGGGAUUUAUGAUGGGGAAUACGUUUUUUCAGAUCAGAUCUGCCUGUAUUCCAAAGAGCCAAUGAGAGUCGAGAGAGAUUAGACAGUGACCAGAAAACCAACAAAGUGCCCUUUGCUGCUGCU